AGCAGUGGAGCCAUAGUCCGGCCGGCAUAGUUCAUUUCAUUCACACAUAUACCACCAGAUGAAGGAAUAUGAGUACAGCCGCUGGGUCCAGAAGGAGGAACUGGAGUCCUUAGAGACUCUAAUAACCCGACUGCUUUUUCAACCACUGGACCUCCUUCUUUAUGAGGAAAGGGAAUCCUAAUGGCCUCAUGAGCUUGCAUGCUCAUCAGAAAAACCAAAAUUGUAGCUAAAAGAAGAAGAUUCAGAUGCCUCAUCGUAGCUUCUUGAAAACGACAAGGAAAAGAUUUUCAGAUGAAGAGUACAAUAAUAAUAAUGAUAAUCUG
rnacentral:lncRNA from 1 species